UACAGAGGUCUCAAGCGUUGUCCGGAAUUACUGGGCGUAAAGAGCUCGUAGGUGGUUUGUCGCGUUGUUCGUGGAAAACUCACGGCUUAACUGUGAGCGUGCGGGCGAUACGGGCAGACUGGAGUACUGCAGGGGAGACUGGAAUUCCUGGUGUAGCGGUGGAAUGCGCAGAUAUCAGGAGGAACACCGGUGGCGAAGGCGGCAUCCUGGACCAAUUCUGACGCUGAGUGAGCGAAAGCCAGGGGAGCAAACGGG
rnacentral:rRNA from 1 species